UACGGAGGGUGCAAGCGUUAAUCGGAAUUACUGGGCGUAAAGCGCACGCAGGUGGCUGAGUAAGUCGAUUGUGAAAGCCCUGGGCUUAACCUGGGAAUUGCAGUCGAUACUGCUCGGCUAGAGUAUGGGAGAGGGUAGUGGAAUUCCCGGUGUAGCGGUGAAAUGCGUAGAUAUCAGGAGGAACACCUGUGGUGUAGACAGCUUACUGGACCAUUUCUGACGCUGAGACACGAAAGCGUGGGUAGCAAACAGG
rnacentral:rRNA from 1 species